rnacentral:lncRNA from 1 species
UUUUCUUUUUCCUUUUUCCCCUCCUUUUCAUUUUCAUUUUUUGACUUUGAUUUUGAUUUUUUCUUUUUGCUUUUGCUUUUGAUUUUGAUUUUUCUUCCCCCCCUUUUUUUUUGAAUUAGAUCUGAACUCAUAGGAUUAGGCAAGUUUUUGUUAUCCCUUUCGAAGAAUCUUAUUUCCUUCAGAGAGCCUUUUGGGGCACAACUACGACAGAGAACUUUGGAUAUUCCUCUUUAAUCAG